rnacentral:rRNA from 1 species
UACGUAGGGGGCAAGCGUUGUUCGGAAUUACUGGGCGUAAAGGGCGCGUAGGCGGCUCAGCAAGUCGGGGGUGAAAGCCCGGGGCUCAACCCCGGAAUGGCUUUCGAAACUGCUGAGCUAGAGUACAGAAGGGGCAACCGGAAUUCCCAGUGUAGCGGUGAAAUGCGUAGAUAUUGGGAAGAACACCUGAGGCGAAGGCGGGUUGCUGGGCUGAUACUGACGCUGAUGCGCGAAAGCCAGGGGAGCAAACGGG